rnacentral:miRNA from 1 species
AUACGAAAGACCGCGCGGAUGU